rnacentral:rRNA from 1 species
AUUGAACGCUGGCGGCAGGCUUAACACAUGCAAGUCGAGCGGGGGAAGGUAGCUUGCUACUGGACCUAGCGGCGGACGGGUGAGUAAUGCUUAGGAAUCUGCCUACUAGUGGGGUACAACAUCUCGAAAGGGAUGCUAAUACCGCAUACGUCCUACGGGAGAAAGCAGGGGAUCUUCGGACCUUGCGCUAAUAGAUGAGCCUAAGUCGGAUUAGCUAGUUGGUGGGGUAAAGGCCUACCAAGGCGACGAUCUGUAGCGGGUCUGAGAGGAUGGUCCGCCACACUGGGACUGAGACACGGCCCAGACUCCUACGGGAGGCAGCAGUGGGGAAUAUUAGACAAUGGGGGGAACCCUGAUCCAGCCAUGCCGCGUGUGUGAAGAAGGCCUUAUGGUUGUAAAGCACUUUAAGCGAGGAGGAGGCUACUUUAGUUAAUACCUAGAGAUAGUGGACGUUACUCGCAGAAUAAGCACCGGCUAACUCUGUGCCAGCCGCCGCGGUAA